GGAGAGAUGGCAGAGUGGUCGAAUGCGGCGGUCUUGAAAACCGUUGAACGGAAACGUUCCAGGGGUUCGAAUCCCUUUCUCUCCG
rnacentral:tRNA from 1 species